rnacentral:rRNA from 1 species
AGCGAACGCUGGCGGCAGGCCUAACACAUGCAAGUCGAACGGAUCCUUCGGGAUUAGUGGCGGACGGGUGAGUAACACGUGGGAACGUGUCCUUUGGUUCGGAACAACUCAGGGAAACUUGAGCUAAUACCGGAUGUGCCCUUCGGGGGAAAGAUUUAUCGCCAUUGGAGCGGCCCGCGCCUGAUUAGCUAGUUGGUGAGGUAAAGGCUCACCAAGGCGACGAUCAGUAGCGGGUCUGAGAGGAUGAUCAGCCACAUUGGGACUUAGACACGGCCCAAACUCCUACGGGAGGCAGCAGUGGGGAAUCUUGCGCAAUGGGCGAAAGCCUGACGCAGCCAUGCCGCGUGAAUGAUGAAGGUCUUAGGAUUGUAAAAGUCUUUCACCGGGGACGAUAAUGACGGUACCCGGAGAAGAAGCCCCGGCUAACUUAGUGCCAGCCGCCGCAGUAA